rnacentral:lncRNA from 1 species
CGAAGUUCGGCUCCCGUAGGAGUCCGGACAGAGCUUAUCAGCAGUUGAAGUCGGUGACGGAGCCCGGCUCCCGUGGGAGUCCGGGCGGAGCCUUCCUGCAAUUAAAAUCAAAGAUGAGGUUCGGCUUCCGUAGGAGUCCGGACAAGGCUUACCUGCAGUAGAAGUUGAUGACGAAGUCCGGCUCCCGUAGGAGUCCGGACGGAGCCUUCUUGGCGGUAGAAGUCAUGGACGGAGUCCGGCUCCCGUAGGAGCCCGGGCGGAGUCUUCCUUGCAGUAGAAGUCAAGUGUGAAGUCCGACUCCCGUAGGAGUCCGGACGGAGCUUAUCAGCAGUUGAAGUCGGUGACGGAGCCCGGCUCCCGUGGGAGUCCGGGCGGGGCCUUCCUGCAAUUAAAAUCAAAGAUAAGGUUCGGCUCCUGUAGGAGUCCGGACAAGGCUUACCUGCAGUAGAAGUUGGUGAUGAAGUCCGGCUCCCGUAGGAGUCCGGACGGAGCUUUCUUGGCGGUAGAAGUCAUGGACGGAGCCUGGCUCCCGUAGGAGCCCGGGCGGAGUCUUCCUCGCAGUAGAAGUCAAGUGCGAAGUUCGGCUCCCGUAGGAGUCCGGACAGAGCUUAUCAGCAGUUGAAGUCGGUGACGGAGUCCAGCUCCCGUGGGAGUCCGGGAGGAGCCUUCCUGCAAUUAAAAUCAAAGACGAGGUUCGGCUCCCGUAGGAGUCCGGACGAGGCUUACCUGCAGUAGAAGUUGGUAACGAAGUCCAGCUCCCGUAGGAGUCCGGACGGAGCCUUCUUGGCGG